ACAAGGGAGCAGGGCAAGGUGAAACCCUAGUUUCACCAAAUCCAUCAAAUUUAGUAGGGAUUUCAAGGAAAAUCGAAUGCAUGAACCUCUAUUCUUGAACAUCUAACCUUGUUCAUUGAUGUGGAUCGUGUCAAUAUGGGGGAAAGCACGGAAGGUUAAUGGAACGAGUAAGAGGAAGCAUGUAUGAAACGGACACUCGAGGUACCACACGGAUUUCUUCUUCUACUAACGAAGAUGAGCGGACGAAGAUCGAGUCAAGAGCAAGGAUUGUACGGGAAAGAUCGGUCACAUAGUUUAACAAAUGUAGGUCCAAAGUAUUAAUAUAAUGGAACGUGGUAAAUCCUUUUUAGUGAGUGUAUGACAUUUGGUAUUCGAACUUUCCUGUAAGUACUAUGUCUAUUAAAGAACGAAAUUUUGGGUUCA